rnacentral:tRNA from 1 species
GAGGCUACAGCUCAAGUGGUGGAGCGCAUGCCUAGCAUGCAUAAGGUUCUGGGUUCAAUCCCCAGUAGCUCCA